rnacentral:rRNA from 1 species
UACGGAGGAUGCAAGCGUUAUCCGGAUUUAUUGGGUUUAAAGGGUGCGUAGGCGGGACAAUAAGUCAGUGGUGAAAUCCUACGGCUUAACUGUAGAAUUGCCAUUGAUACUGUUGUUCUUGAGUGCAGCUGAAGAGGGCGGAAUGUGUUGUGUAGCGGUGAAAUGCUUAGAUAUAACACAGAACACCGAUUGCGAAGGCAGCUCUCUAAACUGCAACUGACGCUGAGGCACGAAAGCGUGGGGAUCAAACAGG